rnacentral:rRNA from 1 species
GAUGAACGCUGGCGGCGUGCCUAAUACAUGCCAGUCGAGCGAACGGACGAGAAGCUUGCUUCUCUGAUGUUAGCGGCGGACGGGUGAGUAACACGUGGAUAACCUACCUAUAAGACUGGGAUAACUUCGGGAAACCGGAGCUAAUACCGGAUGAUAUUUUGAACCGCAUGGUUCUAAAGUGAAAGACGGUCUUGCUGUCACUUAUAGAUGGAUCCGCGCUGCAUUAGCUAGUUGGUAAGGUAACGGCUUACCAAGGCAACGAUGCAUAGCCGACCUGAGAGGGUGAUCGGCCACACUGGAACUGAGACACGGUCCAGACUCCUACGGGAGGCAGCAGUAGGGAAUCUUCCGCAAUGGGCGAAAGCCUGACGGAGCAACGCCGCGUGAGUGAUGAAGGUCUUCGGAUCGUAAAACUCUGUUAUUAGGGAAGAACAUAUGUGUAAGUAACUGUGCACAUCUUGACGGUACCUAAUCAGAGAGCCACGGCUAACUACGUG